rnacentral:rRNA from 1 species
GAUGAACGCUAGCGGCAGGCCUAAUACAUGCAAGUCGAGGGGUAACAGGUUCUUCGGAAUGCUGACGACCGGCGCACGGGUGCGUAACGCGUAUGCAACCUACCUAUUACUGGAGGAUAGCCCGGAGAAAUUCGGAUUAAUACUCCAUAGUAUCAUCAGAUGGCAUCUGAAGAUGAUUAAAGGUUACGGUAAUAGAUGGGCAUGCGUCUGAUUAGUUAGUUGGUGAGGUAACGGCUCACCAAGACGAUGAUCAGUAGGGGGUCUGAGAGGAUGAUCCCCCACACUGGCACUGAGAUACGGGCCAGACUCCUACGGGAGGCAGCAGUAGGGAAUAUUGGUCAAUGGGGGCAACCCUGAACCAGCCAUGCCGCGUGGAGGAAGACGGCUUUCUGAGUUGUAAACUCCUUUUAUAUGGGAAGAAAAAGCACCUGCGGGUGAAAUUGCCGGUACCAUAUGAAUAAGCACCGGCUAACUCCG